rnacentral:rRNA from 1 species
AAUAGAUACCCGGGUAGUCCACGCCGUAAACGAUGAGUGCUAAGUGUUAGAGGGUUUCCGCCCUUUAGUGCUGCAGCUAACGCAUUAAGCACUCCGCCUGGGGAGUACGGUCGCAAGACUGAAACUCAAAGGAAUUGACGGGGGCCCGCACAAGCGGUGGAGCAUGUGGUUUAAUUCGAAGCAACGCGAAGAACCUUACCAGGUCUUGACAUCCUCUGACAACUCUAGAGAUAGAGCGUUCCCCUUCGGGGGACAGAGUGACAGGUGGUGCAUGGUUGUCGUCAGCUCGUGUCGUGAGAUGUUAGGUUAAGUCCCGCAACGAGCGCAACCCUUGAUCUUAGUUGCCAGCAUUUAGUUGGGCACUCUAAGGUGACUGCCGGUGACAAACCGGAGGAAGGUGGGGAUGACGUCAAAUCAUCAUGCCCCUUAUGACCUGGGCUACACACGUGCUACAAUGGAUGGUACAAAGGGCUGCAAGACCGCGAGGUCAAGCCAAUCCCAUAAAACCAUUCUCAGUUCGGAUUGUAG